rnacentral:rRNA from 1 species
UACAGAGGUCUCAAGCGUUGUUCGGAUUCAUUGGGCGUAAAGGGUGCGUAGGUGGCGCUGUAAGUCGGGUGUGAAAUUUCGGAGCUUAACUCCGAAACUGCAUUCGAUACUGCGGUGCUUGAGGACUGGAGAGGAGGCUGGAAUUCAUGGUGUAGCAGUGAAAUGCGUAGAGAUCAUGAGGAAGACCAGUGGCGAAGGCGGGUCUCUGGACAGUUCCUGACACUGAGGCACGAAAGCGUGGGGAGCAAACAGG